rnacentral:rRNA from 1 species
UUGUAGCUUGCUACAGAUGACGACCGGCGCACGGGUGCGUAACGCGUAUAGAACCUACCUUUUACAUAGGGAUAGCCUUUAGAAAUGAAGAUUAAUACCUUAUAGUAUUGAGACUUGGCAUCAAGUUUUAAUUAAAGAUUUAUCGGUAAAAGAUGGCUAUGCGUCCUAUUAGUUAGUUGGUAAGGUAACGGCUUACCAAGACAUCGAUAGGUAGGGGCCCUGAGAGGGAGAUCCCCCACACUGGUACUGAGACACGGACCAGACUCCUACGGGAGGCAGCAGUGAGGAAUAUUGGACAAUGGAGGCAACUCUGAUCCAGCCAUGCCGCGUGUAGGAAGAAUGCCCUAUGGGUUGUAAACUACUUUUAUACAGGAAGAAACACUGGUAUGUAUACCAGCUUGACGGUACUGUAAGAAUAAGGACCGGCUAACUCCGUGCCAGCAGCCGCGGUAAUACGGAGGGUCCGAGCGUUAUCCGGAAUCAUUGGGUUUAAAGGGUCCGCAGGCGGUCGAUUAAGUCA